AGUAAGAUGGACAGUAGUAGCUUCCCCUUCACUGAUAGUAGAGAGUGUCAGUAGAGGGGAAAGCCUAUCAACCAAACUGAAAUGGGGUCUAGUUCACAAAUUUAAGUCCUUGUUGUCAAUGAUCAGUUUAUAAAAGUCAAGGAAAUUCCUUCUCAUGUUUGUCCUGCCAGUGGCCCAAGCCAGCGCGUUUCGGGGAGGGCCUGUUCAUACCCGUUGCGGUGCUCUUAACCGAGUGUCUCGAUGGGCCGGCACGUUUACUUUGAACAAAUUAGAGUGCUUAAAGCAGGCAGCAGCCACCUGAAUACCGAGUGCAUGGAAUAAUGGAAUAGGACCUCGGUUCUAUUUUGUUGGUUUUCGGAAUCCCCGAGGUACCGAUCAACAGGGACAGACGGGGCCAUUCGUAUUGCGACGUUAGACGUCAAAUUCUUGGAUCGUCGCAAGACGGACCGAAGCGAAAGCAUUUCCCAAGAUUGUUUUCUCUGAUCAAGAACGAAAGUUAGAGGUUCGAAGGCGAUCAGAUACCGCCCUAGUUCUAACCAUAAACAAUGCCAGCCAGUAAUCCGCCAAAGUUCCUCCGAUGACUCGGCGGGCAGCUUCCAGGAAACCAAAGCUUUUGGGUUCUGGGUUCCGGGGGAAGUAUGGUUGCAAAGCUGAAACUUAAAGGAAUUGACGGAAGGGCACCACCAGGAGUGGAGCCUGCGGCUUAAUUUGACUCAACAUGGGAAACCUCACCAGGCCCGGACAUCGGGAGGAUUGACAGAUUGAGAGCUCUUUCUUGAUUCGGUGGGUGGUGGUGCAUGGCCGUUCUUAGUUGGUGGAGCAAUUUGUCUGGUUAAUUCCGAUAACGAACGAGACUCUAGACGAGACAUACGUUAUACACUUUAUCGCACACAGUUUCAAAGGCAACCUCGUAUUCUCAUGCAAAAUGAGCCCUGAUUUCUCUUUCCCAAAGCUCUCGUAUUCCCCUUGUCCUUCUCAUGAACAGGCCAUAUACUCACACAUAGUUCUACGUAAACGCAUGUCCAUUUCUUUUUGUUUUGCCCAAAAUUACCCAUACCACUCACUCCUAAAGCAUCACCAAUA
rnacentral:rRNA from 1 species